GACGAACGCUGGCGGCGUGCCUAAUACAUGCAAGUUGAGCGAUGAAGAUUGGUGCUUGCACCAAUUUGAAGAGCAGCGAACGGGUGAGUAACGCGUGGGGAAUCUGCCUUUGAGCGGGGGACAACAUUUGGAAACGAAUGCUAAUACCGCAUAACAACUUUAAUCAUAAGUUUUAAGUUUGAAAGAUGCAAUUGCAUCACUCAAAGAUGAUCCCGCGUUGUAUUAGCUAGUUGGUGAGGUAAAGGCUCACCAAGGCGAUGAUACAUAGCCGACCUGAGAGGGUGAUCGGCCACAUUGGGACUGAGACACGGCCCAAACUCCUACGGGAGGCAGCAGUAGGGAAUCUUCGGCAAUGGACGAAAGUCUGACCGAGCAACGCCGCGUGAGUGAAGAAGGUUUUCGGAUCGUAAAACUCUGUUGGUAGAGAAGAACGUUGGUGAGAGUGGAAAGCUCAUCAAGUGACGGUAACUACCCAGAAAGGGACGGCUAACUACGUG
rnacentral:rRNA from 1 species